rnacentral:tRNA from 1 species
UCUCUUAAAGUAAUUUUUUACUUUUUAAUUUCGACUUAAAAAUAUGAUUUUUAUAAAAUCUGAGAGAA